UACGGAGAGUGCGAACGUUGUUCGGAUUCACUGGGCUUAAAGGGCGCGUAGGCGGUUGGUCAAGUCAGGGGUGAAAUCUUUCGGCUCAACCGGAAAACUGCCUUUGAUACUGACUGGCUGGAGGGAGAUAGGGGUUGCGGGAACUACCAGUGGAGCGGUGAAAUGCGUUGAUAUUGGUAGGAACGCCGGUGGCGAAAGCGCGCAACUGGAUCUCUUCUGACGCUGAGUGCGCGAAAGCUAGGGGAGCAAACGGG
rnacentral:rRNA from 1 species